rnacentral:ncRNA from 14 species
GGCUCGCGCCCGUAGUCUGGAGAAUCAGUCGCCAGGGUUGCGUUGCGGUAUGCCCCGGUUGGAGCCUAAGCGCGGCUCGUAUCGGCCGGUUUCCGCGACAAGCGAGGGUUUGGCAGCCCCGUUAUUUCCAAGACCCCGCCAGCCGACUUCUCCAGUUUACGGGAGCGAGCCCUU